CGGGAAUAUAAGCUCAGCGCGUGCAACCACUCUUCGGUAGAUCGUCAGCUCACUUACUUAGCACCUGGACGCUUCGUUGCUCAGUUUGCCGUCUUGUUGUGGUGGGACGCUGGACUGCCUGCUGCUUCAUUGGACUCACUCACCUGCCUGCCCCCUCUGUGGAACACAGGUUGUUUGUUUGGACUUUAUUGGGAUUUUUUCCAGACCGACUCCGCCCUCUACGCGUGGUCUCCGCUAUUUGAAAAUACUUUGAGGACAUAACCUUCCCAGAUCCACGACAGCCCCCAAGGCUCCCUCACGGAUUCCCUCACGGCUUUUGAAUAUCUGAUAGUGACUGUUUGACUCAUGCCAUGCCUUCUCUAGUUGAUUGCUUACACUGUGCCUUAUUAGUUUUUGUUAAUGAGGCAUUCAAUGUAAAAUAGGAAUUCUGAGUUGUGCCUCACUUCUAGUUCUCUUGAAUGCUUUCAUAGCUAGGAUAAGGUUCGUUUCUGCCUUCCUGAAUUAGCGUUAAAGGGUUAAUCAUAUUAGUCUGGCGUUUUCCUAGUUUCCUUGCCCUCCUUAGUUGCACUCGUCGCCAGGUUUUCCUUAAUUUCUUCUGAUUUGUUACCUUGUGUAAAUAAACGCUGUUGUCGCAUUUUCACUCCUCACCUCCGGGUGGUAUCUGCACUUUGGUCCACACCUUGUUUACAGGCCUGCCGGCCGUGACACAUUCACAGCAGAAGCAUCAGUGUGAAUAACAAAGGAAAAAGACUCGUGUGUUAUGAGAAUUGCUAAGAAGUAUGAUCACCUGUAUUUGAUGUUGUUUUUUUCUAACAUGUAUCCUUUAUGGCAGCACAGUGUUUGAGUAAUGGAUUUUAGAUAAUAAACACACCUGAUGCAGCAAAUGUUCUGUUGAAAGUAGAAAACAUUAGAGACCAAAUAGACUUGUUUUAUUUUCUCAUUGAAAGUUGAGGCGAUUUUAAUAAGUUUAUAGCUCAGAG